rnacentral:snRNA from 1 species
AUUCUCUGAGGUAGUAAUAUGGACUAAAGUUAAGACGAUAAAGGGGAGAUAAGCAUGGCUUCUGCACAAGAUGAAAAGCAAAUUUGUAAAACUUUCCAUAUUUUU